AUGCACGCUGGCGGCGUGCCUAAUACAUGCAGGUCGAGCGAACGGACGAGAAGCUUGCUUCUCUGAUGUUAGCGGCGGACGGGUGAGUAACACGUGGAUAACCUACCUAUAAGACUGGGAUAACUUCGGGAAACCGGAGCUAAUACCGGAUAAUAUUUUGAACCGCAUGGUUCAAAAGUGAAAGACGGUCUUGCUGUCACUUAUAGAUGGAUCCGCGCUGCAUUAGCUAGUUGGUAAGGUAACGGCUUACCAAGGCAACGAUGCAUAGCCGACCUGAGAGGGUGAUCGGCCACACUGGAACUGAGACACGGUCCAGACUCCUACGGGAGGCAGCAGUAGGGAAUCUUCCGCAAUGGGCGAAAGCCUGACGGAGCAACGCCGCGUGAGUGAUGAAGGUCUUCGGAUCGUAAAACUCUGUUAUUAGGGAAGAACAUAUGUGUAAGUAACUGUGCACAUCUUGACGGUACCUAAUCAGAAAGCCACGGCUAACUACG
rnacentral:rRNA from 1 species